UGAUUUUUGCCUAUUCCCUCGCUGAUCCCUCGUUGAUCAGCGAGGGAUCAGCGAGGGAAAAGCAAAAAGCAUUUUCCCUCGCAGAUCAGCGAGGGAUCAGCGAGGGAAAUGGCCAAAAAUCAGAUUCCCUCGAUGAUCCCUCGCAGAUCAGCGAGGGAUCA